UGUGUUUGCACUUGUGUGUUAACAGUCAUUGUUAAUUUUACUUCGUAGUAUAUAUUAUUUUUGUACGUACAGAAUUAUGUGGAAGGUUAGCCCGAGUACUCUGCCGUUCGAGAGCUAGACGGACAUUUGGACGGUUAUGAUCGCACGAAAACACGGAAUGGCCACCUAUCACACGGAAAGUUACGGUUGUGUUUCUAUACAAACCAGUGUGAUUAACGUGAAGAAGUUUGUGUAACUCUAACGUAUCUGUUGUCGUCAGUCACCUUUGAUCGUGAUGUCGUGUCGCCAGGUUAAAUCACAUGGGCGGCGUCGUCGACCACGUCUUGUCGUCGCCACGCGGAAAGGUUUUGCCCAUCACAGACGUUUGAAGGUAAACAUAUCUAUUAAUCUCGCCAAUAACGAGUUGAAUAACUGGCUAUUGGUCGACAUCAAAGUAAGAAAUAGACUGAGAAACACCCAGAUUUACAGUCAUGAUAUAAACACUUUCCUCGUUUCUUUCUUGUAUAUUAUAGGGUGCGGAGUGUAGCUUAGUAGGUAUAGCACUCGUCUGAGGAGCUUUGGUCGCAGGAUCGAAUCCCACGCAGUGAACCCAUUCUUUGGUUGGUGUUUUUCCUUUCAAAACAGUGACCCACGACUGGUAUAUCAAAGGCUCUGGUAUGUGCUGUCCUGUCUGUGUGGAAAUGAAUACAAAAUAUGUUUUGCUGCCAUUUCCUCUUAAAGACUAUAUGUCAGAAUUACAAUAUGGUUGA